rnacentral:sRNA from 1 species
CAUGGGAGGAGAGGGAUGAUGACGUUACCUGACCAACAGGGCUGGGUGCAGAUCAAAAGAAAUGAAUGAUUCCUGGGGAAGUACUUUGCGAAUGCUGAAGAUUUAUGUGCGUUUAAGGUGGUAUUAAUUAUUUUUGGCACAGGAAAAGAGUCAAUCAGAAUAUUUGAAGAUCAGCCAAGAAAAAGAACAGCAAGCAUCUUUGGCCCUAGAAGAGUUAGAGUUACAGAAAAAAGCAAUCCUCACAGAAAGUGAAAAUAAACUUCAGGACCUUCAGCAAGAAGCAGAGACUUACAGAACUAGAAUUCUUGAAUUGGAAAGUUCUUUGGAAAAAA